UACGUAGGGUGCGAGCGUUUGUCCGGAAUUAUUGGGCGUAAAGAGCUCGUAGGCGGUCUGUCGCGUCGGUCGUGAAAACUCGGGGCUUAACUCCGGGCCUGCAGUGGGUACGGGCUGACUAGAGUGCGGUAGGGGAGACUGGAAUUCCUGGUGUAGCGGUGAAAGGCGCAGAUAUCAGGAGGAACACCGGUGGCGAAGGCGGGUCUCUGGGCCGUAACUGACGCUGAGGAGCGAAAGCGUGGGGGAGCGAACAGG
rnacentral:rRNA from 1 species